CAAACAUGGCGGUGCCGGCGAGCUUUUUCGUGUUGUUGGCGGCGAUCGCUCGGCGGCUCGGCAGCACCGUGGGCGCCGUGAGCGCCCGACGACGCGUUCGACAUGCCAGUCGAUGAAAGAGUUCGCCGUCACUUUCGCCCGAAGAAAGGAAGGUGCGGCGGUUGUGCGACGAAGUGGCCGAGGAAGGCGCGCGACGGCGCGACCGACUUCGCUCUCGGUGCAGCCUGUGGGUGUUGUGCGGCCUUCGGUUUUUCGCGAGUGGCAGCUUUCAAGCCUUGUUUGGAAGCGAGGAUACAUGCAAGCUGCGGUGAGCAGACUGUGUGCGAUGUUGUGGCGGAGGCAAUCGCGCACGCCGGGAUCCGUAACAAGUGGGUUCACUUCCCGUGGACGCCGGAUGAAAAGGCGGCCUUGAAUGUUUCCUACUGCUGCCGGCGUCAUAGGAUGCGUGGACGGCAGCGACGCAGCGUUGCCGUCAUCAUUGCACCGAAGGGUGACCAUCACAAGGCGGCAUUUUAUCCCCGCAGGGGACAUUAUGCCCACAUCGUCAUGCUAAUCUGCGACGCAGACAUCGGAAUCCUGCCGUGAACCACUGAGUUUGGGAUCAGACUACGACGCCCACGUCUGGCGGACAACGCGGCUGCGUGAGCGCAUCGAAGGGGCCCGGAUUGCCGCGGCCGUACCUUCUGGCUUCUAGGUGACAGAGGCUACAAACCAGGACCAUGGCUCCUGACACCUCUCCGAGGCUGUCCUCUCAGAAGCGGUGUUAAAAAGGCAAGUGCUACACCGCACAUGCUGCAAUGCAGUCUGUAAUGAAGCGUUGUGCUGGGCGUUUGAAGAGCUGCUUCCGCUGCGUUCAGCAGUGCAGUUGUACCCUCCAUUAAGAAUCAGAAUGUGCAUCUCACAUUGCUGCAGCAUGUGCAGUGUUGCACUUGCCUUUACAUUGCAGAAGGUGACAGAAAUGUUCAUGAUUUCAGCGAGCGACGAUUCCAAUAGUGAGCAUGGCAGUGUUGUCAGGGAUGACCCCGAACCACUGCUUAGACAAGGAAGGCCAUCACGCUCCUCAUGUAUUCCUGGACAAGCUGUCCGCAGUGGUAAUCCGCUAUUUGGCUAACUGCACCACUGACAACAGCGCUAGGCAAGUGUCAUUUCAGUGAGAAACAUGUGCCUAAGAAGUAACAAUAAUAUAUGUGGUUUUCCGUGCCAAAACCAUGAUACAAGUGUGAGCCACACUGCAGUGGAGGACUGAAUUUAUCUUGACCACCUGUGGCUCUUUAACGUGAAUCUCAAUGCAAGUACAGCAGUGAUCCUUCACGUUACCCUCAUGGAGAUGUGUUCGCUGUCAGCAGGAACCGACCCAUGCGCUGAAUGAAGCUUAGCAGUGUGACUUCUUACCUGCUAAGAUCUUACCUAACAAGUAGGAGAAAACGUUUCGAUGUUAAAUUUCCUGGUAAUAAUAAAUCGCUGCUGGGUUUCAUCAUAUGCUGUAUGACCAGGUCUUUCGCAGAACUUGACUACACGUGACUGGGUCAUUUUUAUGUGGCCGUAGAUAGGAACUUUUCAUUUAGCAACUGUCAAUAUAACGCACUGUACUCAGCAGCUGAGUGCUAUAGCCAAUUCUCUGGAAAGCAAGGGUUUGUUAUUGUUUUUGUUACUGCUGACCGUCUUCUAAUCACGAACACUGUGACCGUUAUCUGUUCUAUGACUGGGAGUGCACACCAAGUCUUUGUCUCCUCACUUCGUGUAUAACAACACAGGGCUUGCCUUUUACUUCACGCACAACUUGCGGGCACUGUGCUCUUUUGUUGCACAUCCACCACACUGUUCCUUUUGAAAGGGCCAACUGAUGCUGAAACAGAUCGUCUGGCAUUUCAAGUACCUUUUUCUCAUUCAGAAGUGUGCUCAUCUGUGAAUGAAGAAGUAAUGUGAAAGAAUAUGUAAGCAGUCUCUUCAAGACAGAACCUUGUAAAAAAAAAGAAUUUAUUCGUGUUCACACCAAUGCAAAGACGGCACAUACAUUCUGUAAAUAAAUGUACAUUGUGAAACUG